GGGCUCUUCGGAGUUGGAAGCAUGAUCCGAACCUAGGUCUGCCUGAUUCAAGCGCUGCUAUGUUCUCCCAGAAGAAAAGGUGCCCACCUGCAGGAGGAAGGCCCGAGCGGCCGACGACUCACCUGUCUUUGGAUCGAUCUCCGGGGACAGAGCCUAAUCAAAACAUAUCUGCCAGAGAGAAAGGACAGACAUUAUUUCUUGGAUAAUAAGGCUGAGCAGAGAGAGGCAGAGAAUUCAGACUGUUCAACCACCAGGUGGUGCUGGCACACGGCUGGGCCCUGCUGGUGGAAAUGGGCCUCACUUAGAACAGCUUCCCAGCGC